rnacentral:lncRNA from 1 species
AUUGAUAUAUAGUGAUCUUUCACAGGUAGGCUCACCAAUUUAUCCUGUUGCUUGAUUUCUUUGCUUUGAUUAUUAGUUCACUGUUAAUGUCUCUAUGAGGCUGGUGCAAGCCAUCUACUCUGGAUCUUUGGCUAGAUCAAAACGGAAGAGUCUGAAUGGACAUAGCUGAGUAACAAAUCCAAGUCUAGAUGAAGGCUAACUAGAAUGAGAACUGGCCAGGGACAGGAGCUCGGGUCAUGCAGGGGCAGUCUAGAGUAUUCUCCUUACUUUACAAAUACCAGCAGUCUUUGUUAAGGUCUGGGAAUGAUCUCUUCAAACUCUGAUCAAAGUGUCCACCUGCUCUUUCACUGUAUGUUUUAUAAUUCAAAAGUCAUACUGGGGAGUUGGAUACUCUCUCAAUCAGCCCCAUUCCCAAAAGGUAUAGAGAGCAAUUAAAAGAACACUUGGAGGCCUGUGAAAAUAUUAAUGCUUUCCAGGGUAUGAGUAAUUAUUUUUGCUUAGCUUAUCUGUGAUUUUGCAUAGUCCCAGUUAUAAAAGGUUUUUUUUUUUUUUUUUAAUUACAGAGAAGAGGGCUCUCUUUAUUGAAACAUGGCAAGAAAAGUGGGAGAAGCUAGUGACAAUGACUUGGAAGAUUAUGGACAGCUCUUUGUUAAAUUAUGGAAACGAACACACACAUGACACACACAUCAAAUAAAUAUACACAGUGAAAAUACAAGUGAUUCUAGCAGAAUCCAUUAGCUAUUUAUUUUAUUCCUUUAAAACAGUGUCUUGCAAUCCAAUAACAUACUGUGAAACUAGGUAAGGGAGCUGUUUUUUGUCACUCAGUGUGUCAUGGUAUAAUUUUACCUAUCAUUAUUUCAGCUGAAGGUGGCAUUUAGGAGUUCAUUAGUGAUUAAUAGAGCCCUCCAUUGCUCAGAGAUGAUAUUAGAUAUUUAAAGAAAGCAUUUAGUUUAGAUUGACAGUUUUUCUCCCCUUAGGAUGUCUCUAAAACAAACAAACUAAAAAGUUAUGGUGAAUUCUAUUAAGAAAUGUAUAUUUCAUGUAAAUUUGCCAUAAACUGUAAGCAGCCAUGACAAUAAGUCAUAGCUCUCUCUCUCCCUCUUCCAGCAAGCUUCAUUUCCCUAUCAAAAGAGAGCAGAGCUUGCAAGGUCUAAGUAGAAGACUCCUACCAUUUUUCAGCACCAUCACUGUCUUUUUAUGUUUUGUUCAUAAUGGCAACUGUCUGGCUUGAUACAUUGGUUCUGAUGCUUUCACCUGCUUGUUGUCAUUCAGGUGCUAAGUGAAGAGGAUGAAUAUGUAUAAUUCUUUCAAGACUGCGUUAGAAUGACCCAUCUUGGCAUAUUUUAUGACAUAUCCCACCAGACCCUGAUUAUUUUGUGAAGUUGGCAUUCCAGUUAUACUGGUUGGCUUUUGAUAGCUUUUGCCAACUUCCUCUGAGCAUAUGAUUAAUCAGUACAAUAAAAUGGGACAUUCUAAAAUGCGGGAUUGAUGCAUGGGUAAGGAUUUUAAAACUUUCAUUCCUUUAUCCGUCAUUUGAGACAGUUUUAGUGGCUCGUUACCGGAAAGUAUUUUAGGAAAUCUUCCCCUAUUUGAUCACUGUUGCCAGUAUUGUAUAGCCUCUCUGGGGAGAAACGAAUCUUUUGAUUUUGAUAAAGUUUCUUUCUUCCAGAAUGAGGAUGAAUUGUUUUAUUCUUUGGAUCGUUGUCAGGUGCCUUUUGAUAGGUAAUAGAGAGAAACCAAUAGUAGCUGGGGAGUCCUAUGCCAAAUUAGUUUAAAAGCCUUCUUGAGAAUGAAGUGUGGAAUUAAAACUGGAGAAGACUAUGCUAUGUAUGUCUGCAGCAGGCUACCAGGGAAAAUAUAUUGAAAGUUAGAAAUCUGCAAUUUCUUUUUCACUCAUUUCAUAAAUUUUUUGUGAGUCCUAUAUGUCAGGGACUAUGAUAGAAAUGAUGAUACAAAGCCAAUAGAGAGUCCCUGUUCUUAAGGCACUCAUAGUUUACUUGUGGAGAAAGAUAUAUGAAUAUUUGGAAAAUGCACAUUCUGCCUCAUAGCAUCAAAUUAAACACAAUCUUUCUGAGCUUCAGGAGUGGAAGAAGAGUGUUCAUAGCAAUCAACUGAGGAUCAUUCAAACCUUAAAACUCUGGUUUCAGUAAAUGCCUUAGCAAGGAUUAUGGCUUCGUAUUGAUGAUCCUAAACCAAGAAUCGGCAAAUGCAGCUCAGACCAGCUCAUAUAGGAAGAAAAACAUGUAUGUAUUAUAGAAAAGAAGAUUCAGGUUGGACUGCUGUUUUCUCAGGCACAUCUUUUUUAAAGUUGUCAUCAUUUCCCUACUGUGAAAAAUUUGGGGUUUCAUUUAAGGGUGCACUAUGUAUCUUUCAAAUCUAGUUUCCUUAAGAAUGUCUACUGGAGUCUACAUUUUUCUUUAAGAUUGAUAUUUAGCCAUUUUUAGAAAAUUAUUUUUGGCACCUUUGUGCAGUGCCAAGUUAAAGAAUCCUUUAGCUAUCAUAUAUACAUAUUGGGACCUGAAGAACCACCUUAACUGCUAAGAUGAAAAUUCUGGUUCCCUGUAGCACUUUUGCAGAAUCCCAUCUCACCUGGAGAAGGCCACAUAUUGCUAAGACAGGGGCAGAACUACUGUGAGUUUCCAUUCUGAAUAAGGCCUUUUGGAGAGAAAUGAAAGAGGACCCAAGGAGUACAAGAAAUGAUAGAAGAGUCACAAGUUUCUGGAGUUUUAGGACAGUUUAUUGUAUUUUGCUACUUCUCAGCAGAAGUAGCAAUAUUGAUUCACCAAAACAGUGUUUUAUGUCUCUUCCAAGAUCUCUUUAGGUUCGUCUUCAUUCCUACUAUUGGCAACAAAAAGGGGUUAUUAUGUUUGGUGAAAUUCUUAGCUCCUUAUAAUUUCCAUCUGUGUUUCCAGAGUCACCCCCCCAAAAAUACUAUCAUAUCUCUAUGCAAAAUUUCAGUAUAAUUUCACUAUCUAUCCCCCUACCCCACCUAAUUUGGUCCCUAAGUGCUCCUUAGGUAUUCCUACUUCUUACAGUUGUUUUGUUCCCCAACCAGAGCAAUGAAUGAUGACUAGAUAAAAUGUGGGAGGUGGACAGUCACCUGCAUGGCAUAUCCUCUCUGUGUUCACUCACGUCCCUAACCUCACUGGAUUUCAUAUGACAAAAUGAAUACAGAAAGCAGCCUGUGAAGGAAGAACAAGCCACAUAAAGGCAAAUUUUGUGAACAAUAAUAGCAUUCAGUGUUUAUUUAACACUCACUUUAUGCCAGUUACUAUUCUAUUUGCUUUUGUACAUUAUGGCACUAAUCCUUAGCUUAUUUAAUUCACAUUUUCACCCAUAGUAAGUGAAGGAGCCAAAAUCUGAGUCUAGGUAGUCUGACCUUGCAGCCAUAUUCUAAUACCUGGAGAGCAAGCCCUUUAUCAUCCCAUCACUUACUUUCUCUAGUACCUCAAAGUGAGUCCAGAACAGCUGACCUGAUUUGUAAUAUGUUAACGGAGCAUCAGCUUUAUGUGAGGGGAUGCUUUUGGAUCCCUUUCUCUCAAUGCUUUCAAUUUCACUGAUUAUGUGAUAUUUAAAAGAGAGUCAGUGCUGGUGAAAAUUAGUUGUGUGUAGAAGACAGAAAAGUUUCUCUUGAAUGCAUUACAAAGUUAAAAUUGUUUACUUGCCAAUUUUAUACACCAAGAAUUCAAAGAGGAGACCAUUUUGAAAACCAAAAGCUCUGUGAUGGUUAUGAAUUACUUUGAAAAUAUGGAAUAGCUUUAUGUAUACCUUCACCUUGCCCUCCAGCUGCCAGUGAAUUUAGAUGAGGAGCUUCUUGGGGACAGAGAUGCACUCUCUGCUCCAUGGUGGACCAGUUUAUCAACAUGAAAUUAAUUUCAUCUAUUCCUGUUCAUUUAAUGGGGAGACUAAGAAUAAGAAAUAAUCUCUGCAGACUUCCAGAGGUAAGAUGCUGCUGAAUGUUUGAUUUUUUUUCACAAAAACUAAUAAAUGGGGGUGCCUAAAAUUAAUACACAGUGUUCAACACAGAAGCUUGAAGACACCUUUGAUAAGCAGAGGCUGAUUUACUAAAAGCAAACAAAGCUGGGAAACAAAAGCCUGGGUUUCUCUGCCCUGUUAAAUAGUUAUAUUUUGAAAGAAGCAACCACAACUGAUAAAACUUUUUUUUUUUUUAAUCUAUAGGGAAAAGACAUCUGAUACCAACUAUCCUCAGCUUUCUGCUCUUUUGAGUUCAUUUUCCAAAUCUAUACCCUAAGACAGCUGAGAAUACAGUAGAAAAAUGUAUCCAGGGAAGAAAUAAGUGCAUUGGGGAAUUGAAUGAAAAUGAUAAAAAUCACUCACACUUCUUUAUUGAAAUAAUUAAAUAUGAAGUGGAGUGGAGAGUGGCAGAUGAAUUCUAAUAGUAAUUGAAUUGGCACUUAGGAGUUAUCUUAUCUGCAUUGCCACAAUUCAAAACUCCCACAGUGUUUUCUUGCAGUCCACAUCGUAUUAAUUAUGCCUCUCAUCCACCAUGUUGUUGGUGAGCCAAGCAGUUAUCAUGCGUGGAGAGGUGUCUGGCUCUCCUCAAGGGGUUCCGUGGGUAGGGAUUCCACCCCUCACGAAAAUGGCACUGUGCUUCUCUAGUGCGCAAGGAACAGCCAGCACACACCAACAGCCACAGGAGCCCUUCCCAUCCUGUUCUUGAAAUAAACCAAGGUUCUUGUUGGAGGUAAUAGCCAGUCACAGAGAAGGGGCGGGCCUGGAAGUGCGUCACUCUCGCCUCCUGGUGAUGCCCUUGGCCACUGCCAUCUUGCGAGCUUGUCUUUCUUUCUCGGUGUACGAAAAUUUUGGCGCUCAAUUCUCGUCCGUUCUAUCUCCAAAAGUGUUUGGCUGACCACAAGUAAGUGUUCUUAUUCAUGUGUAUCUUCAGGGAUCCCAACUAGGGCAUGUUGUUUGUGCAGAAUACUUGCUGAUAGUCUGUCUGCAUGUGGGUUUUUGUUAUAAAAUGAUUCCUACUGUAAUAUCGUUUUAGUUCAUUUCUUUGUUUCAUUUUGUAGAGAAGAGACCAUAAUUAUGCCAAGUUUAACAGCCAAUCAAAUUAUUCAUCAUUGUCAUCCUUUCUUUUUGGUUAGGGAACUGUGAUGAAAGAUGAUUUUGACAGUAUAUAGGUUCUUUCCAGUUUUGACUCUAUAUACCAUUUUUUUUUUUCUUCUUUUGAUUUAGGAUUAUCCAGUGGGAAGACUGGAUUUGAGGAGUUAGGAUUUUGCUGGCUGGAAUCCUUUCUUUCUUGUUCUGCUUUAACAGAUCCAGCCAGAAAAGGCGGGGAGAGGUGAGGUAUUAACUACAUUUAACCUUCAGUUAGUAAAUGAAUAUCUACGGGGAAAAAAAAAAAAAAAAA